rnacentral:rRNA from 1 species
GUACUGCGGAGGACAUUACACAAAUAUGAAGGCGGGCUGGAACCUCUCGGGGUUACAGCCUUGCUGAAUUAUUCACCCUUGUCUUUUGCGUACUUCUUGUUUCCUUGGUGGGUUCGCCCACCACUAGGACAAACAUAAACCUUUUGUAAUUGCAAUCAGCGUCAGUAACAAAUUAAUAAUUACAACUUUCAACAACGGAUCUCUUGGUUCUGGCAUCGAUGAAGAACGCAGCGAAAUGCGAUAAGUAGUGUGAAUUGCAGAAUUCAGUGAAUCAUCGAAUCUUUGAACGCACAUUGCGCCCUUUGGUAUUCCAAAGGGCAUGCCUGUUCGAGCGUCAUUUGUACCCUCAAGCUUUGCUUGGUGUUGGGCGUCUUGUCUCUAGCUUUGCUGGAGACUCGCCUUAAAGUAAUUGGCAGCCGGCCUACUGGUUUCGGAGCGCAGCACAAGUCGCACUCUCUAUCAGCAAAGGUCUAGCAUCCAUUAAGCCUUUUUUUCAACUUUUGACCUCGGAUCAGGUAGGGAUACCCGCUGAACUUAAGCAUAUCAA